GACACGCUGGCGGCGUGCUUAACACAUGCAAGUCGAACGGAAAGGCCCUGCUUUUGUGGGGUGCUCGAGUGGCGAACGGGUGAGUAACACGUGAGUAACCUGCCCUUGACUUUGGGAUAACUUCAGGAAACUGGGGCUAAUACCGGAUAGGAGCUCCUGCUGCAUGGUGGGGGUUGGAAAGUUUCGGCGGUUGGGGAUGGACUCGCGGCUUAUCAGCUUGUUGGUGGGGUAGUGGCUUACCAAGGCUUUGACGGGUAGCCGGCCUGAGAGGGUGACCGGCCACAUUGGGACUGAGAUACGGCCCAGACUCCUACGGGAGGCAGCAGUGGGGAAUAUUGCACAAUGGGCGGAAGCCUGAUGCAGCAACGCCGCGUGCGGGAUGACGGCCUUCGGGUUGUAAACCGCUUUCGCCUGUGACGAAGCGUGAGUGACGGUAAUGGAUAAAGAAGCACCGGCUAACUACGUG
rnacentral:rRNA from 1 species